rnacentral:rRNA from 1 species
UGGGGAAUAUUGGACAAUGGGCGAAAGCCUGAUCCAGCAAUGCCGCGUGAGUGAUGAAGGCCUUAGGGUUGUAAAGCUCUUUUACCAGGGAUGAUAAUGACAGUACCUGGAGAAUAAGCUCCGGCUAACUCCGUGCCAGCAGCCGCGGUAAUACGGAGGGAGCUAGCGUUGUUCGGAAUUACUGGGCGUAAAGCGCGCGUAGGCGGUUACUCAAGUCAGAGGUGAAAGCCCGGGGCUCAACCCCGGAACUGCCUUUGAAACUAGGUAACUAGAAUCUUGGAGAGGUCAGUGGAAUUCCGAGUGUAGAGGUGAAAUUCGUAGAUAUUCGGAAGAACACCAGUGGCGAAGGCGACUGACUGGACAAGUAUUGACGCUGAGGUGCGAAAGCGUGGGGAGCAAACAG